UGAAAAUGUGAUGGGCAGUGCUCAUGGGUUUAUGAAUGGUCCGUUUACCCAUAGAUCUUUUCAAUGGGCAAGCUGGCUUCCUUUUUCUCUUUUCCUAUAAAUAGGUGCUUUCGGCCUGCAUCGUAGAUAUAACACAAGCUCCUCCAGCCCACCUCACUUCUCCUUCUGUUUCUUCUUCUCAUGAGCCUUUUCAUCUAUUCUUGUAGUGAUGUUUGUGUGGAAAACAACAGUGAAAAGCUAGGAGAAAGAAAGAGAUAGAUAGAAGGCACUUUGGGAGGUUGUUGACAGAAGAUAGAGAGCACAGACGAUGACAUGCAUAUAUAGAAUUGCAUCUCACUCCUUUGUGCUCUCUAUGCUUCUGUCAUCACCUUCAGCCUCCAAUCGCUGUAUAUCUCCCUAUUUCUAAAUUCCAACUCUCCCCCACAUAACAAUCACAUUUAUUCAUCUUUCUGAUGAUCCCAUAUGGCUUGAUGAGCAGCAUGCUUAUUCUUCUCUUCCUAUCAGUUUUAUUCAAUUUUAUUCCACUUGAAAGUUGUUAAUUAUCAACUUCUUCGUUCCCUGUAGAACUUAUCAGAUAAGUAUAACUACAUCGGCAUGUGGGCAGUGGCCACUAACUUCUUUGAUUUGUAGUUAGCUCGCACCUAUUCAGUGAGUGGUUGGGGUGAAGAUCAAGAAUCUGUUGGCUAUAAAGGGGUUUGUAACUUUGUAUGGUAUAUGACCAGGUUUAUUGAAUAAACUACAAAAUCUAGUUACUUACUCAAGGCCGGUGAUGUAAAUUGAUGAUAAACUCCAAAGAAUUUAGCAUACGAAUCAAUGAAUGGCGGUAGCAAGAUAGAAGGUAAGCAGCAACACUUGGCGUGGGCAAGAAUGGAAGGACGGUGCAGCAGAAAAAUGGGGCCGGGGGUCCAAGUGCAAGUACUGAUCAUGACAUAUUGCAGUGGGAGGGCACAUAAUUUUUCCAAGUCAGUACCCCGCUCUAUUGUUCAUUCAUUUCUAUUGCAGUCAAUCAGUGUACGGUCUGUAAAGGGCCACAUUUCUUUGUGGACAUUUGAUGUCUGUGCGCUAUCCACUCGUCACAAUCAGAGUCGACCACCACUGCUGUUCAUCAACAAGACCAACCUCCUCCGUACUUUCGAUGAACCCAAGUUCACCCCGAUCUGCACCGGAGGCUCUCCACAUAUCACCUAGACAAUUAUUUUAUAUUUUGUGUAAUUUGAACAUGCGAACUGCUAAACAGUUUUCGCUCUUGUUAUCCAUCUUCUAACUCUGGAGCUGAAUCAUAUCAAAGCUCGGAAAGGACAACAUGUUCAAUUCUGAAGCCCGCAGGAGGUUGCAGUUGGAUGUAGCGUUCUAGUCGAAGUCGUGGCAUAUAUAUGAUGAUUUGUUGAUUUGAAAACAAAAAAAAGAAAAAAAAGAAAACCAUUUCGAAUGAGUUGGAUUUGAAGGGGAAAGAGAAGGGAAGUUUGAUCAUUCUUUUAGUCACAGUGUCUAGAUAGUCAGUUAGGAUCAUGCAAAGCUGUGCAGUUGAUAUACAUACAUAUGUUUUAUUUGUAAAUAAUUAACAUGUUUUGCCUACUUCAAGAUUAAAUUUUUCAAAUGUAGCGAUUAUACUAUCGUAGGCUGCUAUCAAACAAAACUGAGUAUUGCGUUUGUUUACAGUUACUUAUGUGCACAUUCGCACUGAGUGAAAGAAGUAAAUAUGACCGUAAGACAUUAUGAACAAUUUUUUUUUUUUUUU